rnacentral:tRNA from 1 species
CGCGGAGUAGAGCAGUCCGGUAGCUCGUCGGGCUCAUAACCCGGAGGUCAGGUGGUUCAAAUCCCCUCUCCGCAACCA